AUAAUAUUCAAAAGUAAAAUAAAAUAUUCUUUGUUUGGUCCUUUCGUACUAAAACAAAACAAGCAAUUAAAGAUAGAAACCGACCUGGCUCACGCCGGUUUGACUCAGAUCAUGUAA
rnacentral:rRNA from 1 species